UUUUUUUUUUUUUAACAAAAACUGAAUUAUACCGCCGUCCCUGUCCCUAGACCAAGUGACAAAGGGCUUGGAGGUUGAUACUCGAAACCCAAGUUCGAAUCCUAGUUGAUUCACAUUUCCAGUUAAGUUUAUUUCUGUUAGGAGUCGAAAAUCUCCGAUCCUCGACCGGAUCAAAGGUCCUUCUCGGAGAGCGUGUUGGGGUGAAAAUAGCUUCGGAUAAUGACCCUCGAAGUUUGCGCCCUUCGAUUGAUCAAACGAUUAGGCUGAUAAGAGAUCGGAUUAGCCGGGUUCGAAACCUCUACUGUAGAAUCGGUUCGGCUGGAUGAGCCGAAUGUAUAGAAUGUACAGAAACUAGAGUCGGCUGAAGAAUGGAUAAAAACACAAAGUGUGGUCGGCUGAAAGAGCCGAAUACCUUUAUAUAUUAAUAAAACAGAGUGUGCCCGAAGGGCAUACAGACUCUGAAAAUAUAGUUUACAACAGAAUGUGCCCGUGGGGCAUACAGACUCUAGAGAUCUAUCUUAAAAACUGCUCCUAGGAAAGCAGUAAAUGCAGAAAAGGAAAUAAAAAAUAAAAUAAAAUAAAUAUUGAAUGGA
rnacentral:lncRNA from 1 species